UACGUAGGGCGCAAGCGUUAUCCGGAAUUAUUGGGCGUAAAGGGCUCGUAGGCGGUUUGUCGCGUCUGCCGUGAAAGUCCGGGGCUCAACUCCGGAUCUGCGGUGGGUACGGGCAGACUAGAGUGAUGUAGGGGAGACUGGAAUUCCUGGUGUAGCGGUGAAAUGCGCAGAUAUCAGGAGGAACACCGAUGGCGAAGGCAGGUCUCUGGGCAUUAACUGACGCUGAGGUGCGAAAGCCAGGGGAGCGAACGGG
rnacentral:rRNA from 1 species